rnacentral:rRNA from 1 species
GGGUUAAGUCCCGCAACGAGCGCAACCCCUUAUCCCUAGUUGCCAUCAGGUAAAGCUGGGGAACUCUGGGGAGACUGCCGGUGAUAAACCGGAGGAAGGCGGGGAUGACGUCAAGUCCUCAUGGCCCUUACAUCCCGGGCUACACACGUGCUACAAUGGCAGGUACAGAGGGCUGCGAAGCCGCGAGGUGGAGCGAAUCCCAGAAAACCUGUCUCAGUCCGGAUUGAAGUCUGCAACUCGACUUCAUGAAGGCGGAAUCGCUAGUAACCGCGAAUCAGCAGGUCGCGGUGAAUACGUUCCCGGGCCUU